rnacentral:lncRNA from 7 species
UUUCUUAAUUAGAAGAAAAUACUGUUGAAAGGCUACUUUUCCUGAAGUCAUCCAAGGAAGAAAGGUGUUUUAUUGGGGCUGGUCUGUUGGUGGAUGUUCACGUUGACCAGAUGAUGUUGAUGGGCACCCAAGCAAGCAGAAAUAGUGAAGUAUAUUUCCUGCUAAUUUAUCACUCAAAAUUCUGAGCUCUGAGCUAAAUUUCGGUGUGGAUAAAGAGGGAACUGGAAGAAAAGACAAUGGGAAGAUAAAAGAGGUAGCCUUUAAUCGUCAUGAUUAUCCUGAAAAAUGAAUGCUCACUUACAGAAGAAAGCUAUUAUUACAGCUCUCUUGGUCAGCUGAGGUCACAGUGUGGGAGGAUUCUGAGUCGAGGCAAUUGCAAACACACUGAGAAGGGAAGGAGAGUCCAUUGUGUAUUGUGUAAGAUUGAGUACAUCUGUCCCGCACUUUCCAACCAACAAUAAAAUAGGAGAAUGAACUGCUUCUAAAGAUCAAAAAUAGCUACUGAAAUGUCAGAACUUCUGCUGGGACACAAAUUGUGAUUACUGAGGGCUAUUUGUAGAGAAAGUUGAACUGUCAAUGGGAAGGAGAAUCCGUACUGGUAUCAGCAGUGACUCAAUGAAUGAAGAGCCUAUUGCUGCAAAGUAAUCUGUCUGCAAAAAAACUACUGAUUCUGCCAGAGGAGAACGCUCAGUGGGAAGCUGAGGUCACAUCAAUACAUCUUUCUAUCACUUUAGAAAUUUUAUUAUGAAGACUAAAGCAUUCACAAAGGCUCAGUGAGGUGAUUGAUGAGGCUCAGGAGACCACUAGAACCAUACAGGGAACAAGGCGUGACUUUAUUUUAAAAUUCAAUAGUUCAAAUGCCAAUGUCCUUAUGCACAUUCAUUUUUUUCUAAAGCCUGCCACCUCAACAACAACCAGCAUGAUUUCAUCACCAGAGCAAGAAAAGUGACAUACUUUAGGUGGCAGGAAAUGCAGAUGCAUACAUACACUCACAUCACUCACGUUGUAAGACUUGCAUGGAAUGGGAUGUACUACAAUGCCACAUUUACCAGCCAGCACCUGUGUUCGGAGCAUGGACAUAUUCCUAUAAUUACAAAUGCUUUAGAAUGCCUUGAUACUUAAAAUAGCCCCCUAUAUUCAUGUUCCUAUCCUUAUAUGCAGUCAAAAGUUUUUUCCUCAUUUUAAAAAUCUGUUCAUUAGUAUUUAGAAAUAGAUUCUUUGCACCCUUAUUUUUGGCCUUAAAGAUGAUCAAGGGAGGACCAAAAAAUCCCUGAAUUUUAUUUUGAAGUAAAAAGGUUUUAGAAGCUAGUAUACAAAAGCUAUCAAAAUCCC